GUACUUACCUGGCGCGAGGGUAACCGUGAUCAUGAAGGCGGUUCCCUUAGUUGGAGGCUUUGCCAUUGCACUAUUGGUCGAGUUGAAGGCUACGAUUACCCCAAAUGUGGGUAAUUCGAGCGCAUAAUUUCUGGUAGUUGGGAUUUGCGUACGCGCAAAUCCCUU